rnacentral:rRNA from 1 species
AUUGAACGCUGGCGGCAGGCCUAACACAUGCAAGUCGAGCGAGCGGCGGACGGGUGAGUAAUGUAUGGGGAUCUGCCCGAUAGAGGGGGAUGACUACUGUAACCGUUGGCUAAUACCGCAUACUGUCCUUUGAACCCAUAUGGGAGUAGCUAGUAGGUGGGGUAAAGGCUCACCUAGGCGACGAUCUCUAGCUGGUCUGAGAGGAUGAUCAGCCACACUGGGACUGAGACACGGCCCAGACUCCUACGGGAGGCAGCAGUAGGGAAUAUUGCACAAUGGGCGCAAGCCUGAUGCAGCCAUGCCGCGUGUGUGAAGAAGGCCUUAGGGUUGUAAAGUACUUUCAGCGGGGAGGCGUUACCCAAAGAAGAAGCAACGGCUAACUCCGGGCCAGCAGCCGCGGUAAUUC